rnacentral:ncRNA from 2 species
AGGUUCAUCCCCUGAUCAGGUCUUCAUAGGUCAAUUGACUGCGAAGAUAAUCGGGAAAUCAGUUUAAAUCUGAUGCUGCCCCCGCAACGGUAAUUGAUAGCGCUACUUGAUAGACCACUGAGUUAAAUUCAUCAUUCGAGAUAAUAGCUUGGGAAGGUAAGUAGCUAAGGGUCAACAGACCCUAAGGAUCAUAAGCCCGGAGACCGGCCUGAACAGUGUAUCGAGC